UUUUUUUAAAACAAGAAAACUCUGAAAUGAUACCUGGCAAUCACCUUGAUCAGACAUGGGAGGUAACCUGAAAACAUCCAACGUCACCAACAUCCUGGGUUACCCCGGACCCUUGCUGUGCUUGGCGUCUUGGCUGAACAUCACAGGAGCCCCUGAAGGAAGCCUCCCUAUCUCCAUCCUACAGCUGAGGGGACUGAGGCCAUGUGAGUUUCACACCCUGACCCUGUAGACAAGAAGACCCAGGCCAUGUGAGGUUCAACAUCUCAUCCCUACAGACGAGGAGACCUGGACACGUGCGCGUUACAUCUUGUCCAAGAACGUCUAGCCAGUGGGAGAGCUGCGGCCGUAGGAAAGUUCCCACGCAGGUCCUGGAGUCCGUGCCCAGAGAUGAAGCUGGCUGAGGGACUGACUCCUCAUGCCCCACGUGGAAGUCAUGGAAGCGGCCGUGAGCAUAGCCGUUGAUGUGACCGCUUGUAUGUACUCAGCCAUGAAAGGUGAAAUGUGCCAUUUGGAACAAUGUGGAUGAGCCUGGAGAUGAUCAUACGAAGUGAGGUCAGCCAAAGACAAUGUCACAUCACUGCAUGUGGAAUCCAGACGUAUUCUGCGGACACAGGGCGCCAUGUCCUAGCCAAGUUGAGACAUGAAAGGAAACAUUGAAACAGUGCUUUCUGGGAUCUUCUAUUUCUCCGUUUCUCCAAAGACUUCACUUUCUUUAAGCACAAAGUAGAAUGUUCACAUCACAAACUGAUGACCCAGGAGAGAAGCUAUAAGCUGGCUGUUACAGCAAAGGUUUUAAAUAAUUAGAAGGGGCCACCCCCACUCCCCCAGAGCCUGGAGGGUGACACCGCUUGCCUCGUGGGAUCCAACUGCCUCUCUCCCAUGGGCGUGAGGCUGAUCACACCUUUGCUGGAGGGUCGGAAAGCCUUCCUGGAAGACGCACAGGCAGAAUGAACCCGAAGAAAGCCCUGAAGGUGGAGAGAGCUCCGGGCAGAGAGCAGCACAAACCCUGGUUCCCUGGGGGAGAGAAUUCAGACGCAAAGCUGGACAGCUGGACAGCUAGGCUGAAGGCGCUUCUGAAGCUCUACAGAGCUGGGCUGAGGAGGAAAGUCAGAAUUUGCAGAACAGGCUUGGGACCACGGCUAGGCGACUCCAGGCAGAGAUGGGGGGCAGGUCCAGGCCAGGAAGACAGCGCCCCUUGUGGCUGAUGGUGGAAAUUGUCACCUUCCCUCCCACCCCCGACCCCCUCCCCCGACCCCCAGCCUGUCUCCUGGGAUGUCAAGGAGCCUUGCAAACUGCUGUCCUCCCGGAGGGCUCACCUGUGACCAGAGCAUUUGCAGAAGCUGCAGGGACUGUGGGUGGUGCUGUCCAUCAGCAUCCUGUCCUUCCAGCCCAGCUCCAGCUGGCACGGAUCAGCCUCGCGUUUCCCAGGGGACUCGGGCGGGGCAGCCAGGGUCCCCAGGAGCCCCCGGGGCAGCCGUCCCCGACCCAGCACUGGCUCCGGCAGACAGAGGCUAUGGCAGUGUCAGUGUCUGGGUUAAACACUGCAAAGCGAUGAUAAUUUCAGGCAACCACAGUGGGCAGCCUGCAUGAAUUACCUCUGUGCUCCAUGCAUGCCUGAUCAGCCAUCUACUCUGAGUGGAGGAAACAUGCAAACAUCUGGCACCGUCCACAACAGGGCUGCCCG
rnacentral:lncRNA from 1 species